CACAAUCCAGUAUCUGGAAAUAUGGCUACACCUCAAAAUCAAUACAAUGCUGAAGAUCUAUAUAAUGCAGCAGAAAAGGAGAAUUGGAAAGAAGUGCGAAUAAUUAUCAGUGACCAACCUCAACUCGUCAAUGAAAUAUAUGACCGUCUGACGUUUGUUUAUCGUAUUGUGCUGCUGCUUAAAGCGCCACAAGACAUUCUGUUGGACA